AUUGUAGUCUGCAACUCGACUACAUGAAGCUGGAAUCGCUAGUAAUCGCGGAUCAGAAUGCCGCGGUGAAUACGUUCCCGGGUCUUGUACACACCGCCCGUCACACCAUGGGAGUCGGGAAUGCCCGAAGUCAGUGAACCCAACCGAAAGGGGGGAGCUGCCGAAGGCAGGCCUGGUAACUGGGGUGAAGUCGUAACAAGGUACC
rnacentral:rRNA from 1 species